rnacentral:tRNA from 1 species
AGUAAUUUAAGUUAGUGUUAGACUGUUUGUUUUCAAAACAAGAAGCGGUUAGAAACCAUUUACUG